AUGGCCCUGAGGACUCUGUGUCCCCCAGCUCUGCUCAGCAGUAGCCUGAACAUGCUGCGGAAAGUCCUAUCUUGUCCACGCUGGACUAAAAUGAGGAGGCGGAAUCUCUGUGGGCACUGCCCCAAGAAUUCAAUUCAGUGUAAAUCCCAAAGGAAACUGCUAAGAAAAUGUCUUAUUAGACUGUUUUUAUUUUUAAAACUAUUUAUUUGAAAGGUGGAGUUACAGAUACAGGGAGACAAUAAACACACACGGGUGGAGACAGAGAGAGAGAGGAAAGAGGGGGAGAGAGAGAACUUUCAUUCACUGGUUCACCUGCCCUGCCCCCCCCCCCCCACAAAUGGCUACCAUGGCUUAGACUAGGCCAGUCUGAAGACAGGCACCCAAACUCCAUCCAGGUCUCCCCUCAGUUGGCAAUGCCCCAAGUAGUUGGCCAUCUUCCUCUGCCUUCCCAGGCACAUUAGCGGGGAGCUGGAUCAGAAUCAGAGCAGCCGGGACUCAAACCAGCCUCCUGAUAUGGGUUGCCAGUGUCACAGGUGGCAGCUUUACCUGCUAUGCCACAGCACUGGCGCCUAAAUUCUGAAGAGCCAAGGCGCCUCCAUUUUAAAAAGUAGCCUCCAUUUUCUGGAGCAGGCCCAAGUUCCCGUAAAUGCAAACAUUCAACAGUUACCAAAACCAAAUAAGGAAAUGCCCUGGGCCUGAGCCAAUCAGGAUCAGACUCGUCCAACCAAGAGCUACCAGGAAUGGCACCGUUCAAUCUACUGUAGCCCUGUACCCCAAACCCUUGCUGAUGUAACACUGCAGCUUUGUCCUUUAAAAACGCUCCCGAACAAAGCUCAGGGCCUUCCUCUGACCUCCACUGCGUCGGUUGGUUAGAUGAGGUCCCUGCCGCAGCUUAUACUUCCAGAGUAAACCUUGCUUUUGCAUUUCGGUGAGAUCAAGUCUCUGGUGAUUUUUGGGGAUUCAGCGAUCUGGGCAUAACAGUUUCUUCUAAGAUUUAUUUAUUUGAGAGAUCCGUGGACAGAGAGGGAUUGAUCUUCCAUCCUCUGGUUCACUUCGUACAUGGCCGCAACAGCUAGGGAGGGUCAGUUUAAAGCCAGGAGCCUACGGGGCUAGCACUGUGGUGUAAUGGGUUCAGCCAGCGGUGCAGUACUGGCAUCCCAUAUGGCUGCUGGCUUGAGUCUCGGCUGCUCCACUUCCAAUCCAGCUCCCUGCUAAUGUGCCUGGGAAAGCUGCGAAAGAUGACCCAGAUGCUUAGGCUGCUUCUCCCACAGUGUAGACCCAGAAAGCUCCUGGUUCCUGCUUCCACCUGGCACUUCCCUUGCCAUUGUGGCUAUUUGAGAAGUGAACCAGCAGAUGUAAGACCUCUCUCUUUGUAUCUCUGUCUCUCUCUCUCUCUCCCUCUCCCCUUCUACUCUGUGUGUCUGUGUGUGUGUGUGCAUGUCUUGUCUGUUUGUCUGUCUGUAUUCCUCCCUCUCUCUCUGUAACUCUACCUUUCAAAAAAAUAAAUCUUUUUUGCCAGCGCCGCGGCUCACUAGGCUAAUCCUCUGCCUUCGGCGCUGGCACACCAGGUUCUAGUCCCGGUAGGGGCGCCGGAUUCUGUCCCAGUUGCCCCACUUCCAGGCCAGCUCUCUGCUGUGGCCAGGGAGUGCAGUGGAGGAUGGCCCAAAUCCUUGGGCCCUGCACCCUGGGAGACCAGGAUAAGUACCUAGCUCCUGCCAUCUGAUCAACGCAGGGUGCCAGCCGCAGCACGCCGGCCACGGCGGCCAUUGGAGGGUGAACCAAUGGCAAAGGAAGACCUUUCUCUCUGUCUCUCUCACUGUCCACUCUGCCUGUCAAAAAAUAAAAUAAAAUAAUCAAAAAAUAAACCUUUUUAAAAAGCCUAGAACUCCACCCAGGUCUACCACAGGGGUUGCAGGUGCCCAGGUACUUGGAUCAUAUGCCGCUGGUUUCUCAGGUGUGUUAGUAGGGAGCUGGCUUGGAGCCAGGGCUUGAACAGGCACUUCAAGUAUGGGAUGCUGGCAUCAUAAGCAGUGUCUUAGCCCGCUGUGCCAUACACCAGUCCCCAGAACCAAGCUUUCUUUCUCCCUCCAAAUCUGAUAUCAGUGAAGUAAAGGAGUUUUGCUUGUCCUCAGAGAGGUGUCACAGACUUUUGUCAAACUUGGUUCACUGGGUGUGGUGAUAAAUAAUCUGCACGUGUGUUGAUGUGUUUUAUCAAGCUGAUGAGAGCCCUUGUACUCAGCUAAAGGCUGCUGGGGACCAUGUGCUAAUGGGGUGGACAUGCAGAACCAGUGACAGCCAGGUUACUCAUCAACAGAGAAAGUGUCUACACAAUGCCUCUUUAGUGGGGCAACGAGACCCAAAACAUCACCCUCACCCGUGGCCAGGAAGGGCAGGGGACACAGGCACAGCCCCCUGGGUGGCCACCCCUGGUCACAGUGCCUGAGCUGGAUGAGCUCAUAAUGCAGGUAGCGUCCAUGCCAGGGCUCUGCCGGGCCGGAGACAGAGGUACCAGGAAGAGUUCUCCAUCCGGAGGGCUUCCAGUGGGGGCUGUGAAUGCCAGGAUGGUGGGAGCCCUCUCUCCUGGGAAGGGAGCCUGUGUCUGAGUUGGAGUCCAAGGGACAGAGAUAUGCAAAUAUCGCGGUUUUCCAGUCCUGAAACAUUGAUAAGGUCUGAUAGAGUCAGAGGCACGGCGCUUGGCGGGUAGCGAGGAAGACUUUGGUGACGUAAGCAGAACGUGGUCCACGCCUCCGUCUCCGAGGGGAAAGGCAGGCGCAGCAUCAGACACGGGUGGCAGUGAGUCCCAGCGGGACAGACAGUCUUGGGUGGAAAUAAAGAGUUACUAGAUACUGUAA